GACCUAUGAGAUAAUAUAGGAUAUUCGCUUUCCUUAUUAGGAGUGACUGAUCCCUUAUUGAUCACUCACAAUCUCCAUGCACUCUUCACCAUAUCCAGAACACCCCACAUAAGGAUCAGAGAAUCAAGUUAGGUAGUGAACCAAAAUAUGGAUCCAAGUACACAAGGUACCAUGGUGAUCUCAGGUCUAAGGAUCACAUACACAACUCCCACUAGAAAAUUAUCAAUUGACAUAUAAAUAAGACUCUAUCUGAUAUUCUCUCAUAGGUCAAUUCA
rnacentral:lncRNA from 1 species